GACGAACGCUGGCGGCGUGCCUAAUACAUGCAAGUCGAGCGGACGAAUCGAAAGCUUGCUUUUGAUUCGUUAGCGGCGGACGGGUGAGUAACACGUGGGCAACCUGCCCUGUAGACGGGGAUAACACCGAGAAAUCGGUGCUAAUACCGGAUAACACGAAAUGUCGCAUGACGUUUCGUUGAAAGACGGCGCAAGCUGUCGCUACAGGAUGGGCCCGCGGCGCAUUAGCUAGUUGGUGAGGUAACGGCUCACCAAGGCGACGAUGCGUAGCCGACCUGAGAGGGUGAUCGGCCACACGGGGACUGAGACACGGCCCAGACUCCUACGGGAGGCAGCAGUAAGGAAUCUUCCGCAAUGGACGAAAGUCUGACGGAGCAACGCCGCGUGAGCGAAGAAGGCCUUCGGGUCGUAAAGCUCUGUUGUUAGGGAAGAACAAGUAACGCAGUAACUGGCGUUACCGUGACGGUACCUAACGAGAAAGCCACGGCUAACUACGUG
rnacentral:rRNA from 1 species